GGGACACGUGAUAUCCUGUCUGAAUAUGGGGGGACCAUCCUCCAAGGCUAAAUACUACUGACUGACCGAUAGUGAACCAGUACCGUGAGGGAAAGGCGAAAAGAACCCCUGUGAGGGGAGUGAAAUAGAACCUGAAACCGUGUACGUACAAGCAGUAGGAGCACCUUCGUGGUGUGACUGCGUACCUUUUGUAUAAUGGGUCAGCGACUUAUAUUCAGUGGCAAGGUUAACCAUCUAGGGGAGCCGUAGGGAAACCGAGUCUUAACUGGGCGUUCAGUCUCUGGAUAUAGACCCGAAACCAGGUGAUCUAGCCAUGGGCAGGUUGAAGGUUGAGUAACAUCAACUGGAGGACCGAACCGACUAAUGUUGAAAAAUUAGCGGAUGACUUGUGGCUAGGGGUGAAAGGCCAAUCAAACCUGGAGAUAGCUGGUUCUCCCCGAAAGCUAUUUAGGUAGCGCCUCGGACGAAUACUACUGGGGGUAGAGCACUGUUAAGGCUAGGGGGUCAUCCCGACUUACCAACCCUUUGCAAACUCCGAAUACCAGUAAGUACUAUCCGGGAGACACACGGCGGGUGCUAACGUCCGUCGUGGAGAGGGAAACAACCCAGACCGCCAGCUAAGGUCCCAAAUUACUACUAAGUGGGAAACGAUGUGGGAAGGCUCAGACAGCCAGGAUGUUGGCUUAGAAGCAGCCAUCAUUUAAAGAAAGCGUAAUAGCUCACUGGUCGAGUCGGCCUGCGCGGAAGAUGUAACGGGGCUAAGUAGUAAACCGAAGCUGCGGCAAUGCACUUUAGUGCAUUGGGUAGGGGAGCGUUCUGUAAGCGGUUGAAGGUGUGUGGUAACGCAUGCUGGACGUAUCAGAAGUGCGAAUGCUGACAUGAGUAACGAUAAAGGGGGUGAAAAACCUCCUCGCCGGAAGACCAAGGGUUCCUGUCCAACGUUAAUCGGGGCAGGGUAAGUCGACCCCUAAGGCGAGGCCGAAAGGCGUAGUCGAUGGGAAACGGGUUAAUAUUCCCGUACUUCUUACAAUUGCGAUGGGGGGACGGAGAAGGCUAGGUGGGCCUGGCGACGGUUGUCCAGGUUCAAGUGCGUAGGCUUAAGAGUUAGGUAAAUCCGGCUCUUUUUAAGGCUGAGACACGACGUCGAGCUACUACGGUAGUGAAGUCAUUGAUGCCAUGCUUCCAGGAAAAGCCUCUAAGCUUCAGAUUGUAAGGAAUCGUACCCCAAACCGACACAGGUGGUCGGGUAGAGAAUACCAAGGCGCUUGAGAGAACUCGGGUGAAGGAACUAGGCAAAAUGGUACCGUAACUUCGGGAGAAGGUACGCUCUCGACGGUGAAGUCCCUCGCGGAUGGAGCUAUUGAGAGUCGCAGAUACCAGGUGGCUGCAACUGUUUAUUAAAAACACAGCACUGUGCAAAAUCGUAAGAUGACGUAUACGGUGUGACGCCUGCCCGGUGCCGGAAGGUUAAUUGAUGGGGUUAGACUUCGGUCGAAGCUCUUGAUCGAAGCCCCGGUAAACGGCGGCCGUAACUAUAACGGUCCUAAGGUAGCGAAAUUCCUUGUCGGGUAAGUUCCGACCUGCACGAAUGGCGUAAUGAUGGCCACGCUGUCUCCACCCGAGACUCAGUGAAAUUGAAAUCGCUGUGAAGAUGCAGUGUACCCGCGGCUAGACGGAAAGACCCCGUGAACCUUUACUACAGCUUGGCACUGAACAUUGACCCUACAUGUGUAGGAUAGGUGGGAGGCUUUGAAGCACAGUCGCUAGAUUGUGUGGAGCCGUCCUUGAAAUACCACCCUUGUAGUGUUGAUGUUCUAACGUUGACCCCUAAUCGGGGUUGCGGACAGUGCCUGGUGGGUAGUUUGACUGGGGCGGUCUCCUCCCAAAGCGUAACGGAGGAGCACGAAGGUGGGCUAAUCACGGUUGGACAUCGUGAGGUUAGUGCAAUGGCAUAAGCCCGCUUGACUGCGAGAAUGACGGUUCGAGCAGGUGCGAAAGCAGGUCAUAGUGAUCCGGUGGUUCUGAAUGGAAGGGCCAUCGCUCAACGGAUAAAAGGUACUCCGGGGAUAACAGGCUGAUACCGCCCAAGAGUUCAUAUCGACGGCGGUGUUUGGCACCUCGAUGUCGGCUCAUCACAUCCUGGGGCUGAAGUCGGUCCCAAGGGUAUGGCUGUUCGCCAUUUAAAGUGGUACGCGAGCUGGGUUUAGAACGUCGUGAGACAGUUCGGUCCCUAUCUGCCGUGGGCGUUGGAAGAUUGAAGGGGGCUGCUCCUAGUACGAGAGGACCGGAGUGGACGAACCUCUGGUGUUCGGGUUGUGUCGCCAGACGCAUUGCCCGGUAGCUAAGUUCGGAAUCGAUAACCGCUGAAAGCAUCUAAGCGGGAAGCGAGCCCUGAGAUGAGUCUUCCCUGAUACUUUAAGUAUCCUAAAGGGUUGUUCGAGACUAGAACGUUGAUAGGCAGGGUGUGUAAGCGUUGUGAGGCGUUGAGCUAACCUGUACUAAUUGCCCGUGAGGCUUAACCAU
rnacentral:rRNA from 1 species